rnacentral:lncRNA from 10 species
UCCUGAAUCUCAACCUUGCAGAUACUAAAAAGGUUAAUGGUUUUAAAUAUAUUUCCCCAUUACAUUUCUUGGAAUUUACACACACACAGAGUGUGACAGAGAGAGAGCGAGAGCAGGAGUGAGUGAGUGAGAGAGAGAGAGAAAGAGACGAAGAUUUCGAUAAUGUUAGUGUGAUAAAAAGCUAUGGCCAUAUGUUCAGAAAGACAUUAAUUUUAUAAGGGUGUGUGUGUGUGUGUGUGUGUAUCUAAGUAUUUGUCUAUGUUGUGUGGAAAAAGUACAGAAAUGAAGAAGUGGGCAAUUCUUGAAGGAUGAUGUUGGGCGAGUAAAUUAAGAUACACAAUGGGGAAGUGAUAUGGUUUGGCUGUCUCCCCAGCCAUGUGGAACUGUGAGUCCACUAAACCUCUUUCCUUUUAUAAAUUACCAAGUUUCAGGUACGUCUUUAUCAGCAGCAUGAAAACAGACUAAUACAGGGAGAGAAUAGAGCUCCCCAUCUUCUGAGAUAAGACCUUGCUGUCAGUAUGGCCUUGGGGCUAUAUGCUGCAAUCAUCCCUAUACACAGCUUAAGAUAGACAAUACUCUCACUCCUUCUAAUGCUGGCUUACCAAUUUUGAGUCAAAAAAUUACAAAACACCUAGUUCUGUGUGAUGGGCUGCCUAAAUUUCAUGAGUAAGUUUUCCUUUCUAUUUGUUGGAAAUAAAGCACAAAAGUCCAUUUUAUAUUUAAACAUUAUUUUGAAUUCAAAUUUCAAGGCAUUUUGAGAUCUGUUGCAUCAUCAGUGAUUCUCAAAGUAUUUCUAGAAAAUCUAGUGCUCCUAGAUGCUAGUGGAGGAAAGGCAUCUCUGGUUAAGUUUAUUGUGGGUUAUGUGGCAUAUAUUGAUCUUGAGAGGUAGCAAUGCACGCUGAAGGCCCUUAGAAGCUUUGGAAUAAAAAACAUGACUGAUAAUAUUUUUAAUGCUAUUUUUCAACGUGUUUGUUCAGAAAAAUCGUAUCUACCCACCUAUCUAUUAAUAUCUAUCUACUUAUAUGUUUAUACCCUUAUUCUCACUAAACCUCCAUUUCUUCUACGUGAAAUGGGUACAAUGCCACAGGAUCACUGUGACAGCCUCGUGCGUUCAUGACCGCACGGUGCUCU